AGUGAACGCUGACGGUAGGCCUAACACAUGCAAGUCGAACGGCAGCACAGUAAGAGCUUGCUCUUACGGGUGGCGAGUGGCGGACGGGUGAGGAAUACAUCGGAAUCUACUUUUUCGUGGGGGAUAACGUAGGGAAACUUACGCUAAUACCGCAUACGACCUACGGGUGAAAGCAGGGGAUCUUCGGACCUUGCGCGAUUGAAUGAGCCGAUGUCGGAUUAGCUAGUUGGCGGGGUAAAGGCCCACCAAGGCGACGAUCCGUAGCUGGUCUGAGAGGAUGAUCAGCCACACUGGAACUGAGACACGGUCCAGACUCCUACGGGAGGCAGCAGUGGGGAAUAUUGGACAAUGGGCGCAAGCCUGAUCCAGCCAUGCCGCGUGGGUGAAGAAGGCCUUCGGGUUGUAAAGCCCUUUUGUUGGGAAAGAAAAGCAGCAGGUUAAUACCCCGCUGUUCUGACGGUACCCAAAGAAUAAGCACCGGCUAACUUCGUG
rnacentral:rRNA from 1 species